rnacentral:tRNA from 1 species
GCCUGGGUGGCUCAGUGGUUGAGCAUCUGCCUUUAGCUCAGGCCGUGAUCCUGGGGUCUCAGGAUUGAGUCCCGCCUCAGGCU